rnacentral:sRNA from 1 species
UCUACAGGAGAAGUCGCUUAUGGA